UACGGUGGGGGCAAGCGUUGUUCGGAAUUACUGGGCGUAAAGGGCUUGUAGGUGGCCAACUAAGUCAGACGUGAAAUCCCUCGGCUUAACCGGGGAACUGCGUCUGAUACUGGAUGGCUUGAGUUCGGGAGAGGGAUGCGGAAUUCCAGGUGUAGCGGUGAAAUGCGUAGAUAUCUGGAGGAACACCGGUGGCGAAGGCGGCAUCCUGGACCGACACUGACACUGAGGAGCGAAAGCCAGGGGAGCAAACGGG
rnacentral:rRNA from 1 species